ACUCCUACGGGAGGCAGCAGUGGGGAAUAUUGCACAAUGGGCGCAAGCCUGAUGCAGCCAUGCCGCGUGUAUGAAGAAGGCCUUCGGUUGUAAGUACUUUCAGCAGUGAGGAAGGUGGGUAUGUUAAUAGCAUACUAUUUGACGUUAGCUGCAGAAGAAGCACCGGCUAACUCCGUGCCAGCACCGCGGUAAUACGGAGGGUGCGAGCGUUAAUC
rnacentral:rRNA from 1 species